CACUUUCAUACUAGGAUUUACUACCUGCCGGUUAAUACCCAGGUAGACUGACAUUACCUAUACAAGANGCACCGGCUAACUCCGUG
rnacentral:rRNA from 1 species